rnacentral:lncRNA from 1 species
AGAAGAUAGAAGUUAGAUAGCUGGAUCUUCGAGUUUUCUUUCACCUGAUUUGGUAUCUAGGAAAAUGUUGUUCUCAAGAAGAUGGAAGAUUGUAACAGUUUGGUGAGAAGCCUGGAAUUUGGAUGAUGUAGAUGAUUCACCUCUCGAUAAUCACAUAUUCUACAUGUAGAAUGGCCAAAAGAUGAUUAUAUUAACUAUUAAGAAAACAUAUUGACCUUAACGUAUGUAGAUAUAUCUCUAAGAAAUUAUGUAAAUCAUGAGAAGUAACACUUACUUUGUCGAAGUCGUCGGAGAAACUUAAAACCAAUUAUAAUCUUUUUUCUUGGAAUCUCUUUCUUUUUUUCUGGUAAUAGACCAAGAUGUAGGUUCGCUUCAAGGAAAAAAUCAUCUUUAAAGGUUCGCUUCAAGGACGUCUUUUUCACACCAUACCCUCUACUUAUUUUGUCUUCUCCUCGUCUUGUAUAAACUCCACACUCAUCUUUGAUACUAUUGAUUUGGAUACCCUAGUUUACAGGAAAAGUUGAUUGUAAAAGGAAUACUAACUUUGACGCGCAAACACAAACCAAAAUAUCUUCAUUAUAGAAUAAUGGAACAAACUUGAUUGCAAAAGUUUAUUGAAAAAUAGAAUCUAUCAUUACAAAUUUGUUUACAGAAGGAUACGAAGAGAUCAGUUAGAUUUGGUUACGACUCUUCGAUUUUGGUAUGCCACAUGACUUUUGUUGAGAAUAAGAAAAUUAUGGUAGAAAAAUAAGAAAAUUAUGGUAGAAAUAACGAUUUUUUAUGUGUCCAAAUGAAAUGAAUCAAGUCUCUAUUUAUAGAGUUUAAAAAGUUAUAAACU